rnacentral:rRNA from 1 species
GAUGAACGCUGGCGGCGUGCCUAACACAUGCAAGUCGAACGAAUUACUUUAAAGGAAGUUUUCGGAUGGAAUUUAAAGUAGUUAGUGGCGGACGGGUGAGUAACGCGUGGGAAACCUGCCCUAUACAGGGGGAUAGCCUCGGGAAACUGGGAUUAAUACCCCAUAAAACUCUAGUAUCGCAUGAUACAUGAGCCAAAGAUUUAUCGGUAUAGGAUGGUCCCGCGUCUGAUUAGCUAGUUGGUGAGGUAACGGCUCACCAAGGCGACGAUCAGUAGCCGGCCUGAGAGGGUGAACGGCCACACUGGAACUGAGACACGGUCCAGACUCCUACGGGAGCAGCAGUGGGGAAUAUUGCACAAUGGGGGAAACCCUGAUGCAGCGACGCCGCGUGAGCGAAGAAGGCCUUCGGGUCGUAAAGCUCUGUCCUAAGGGAAGAAACGGACGGUACCUUAGGAGGAAGCCCCGGCUAACUACGUGCCAGCAGCCGCGGUAAAAGUACCUCUAU